UUAUAUACUGAAAGGUUGUGAAAGGAGGAUUGAGGGAAUCAUUUGGUGUGCUUGGUUUAUUAUUUUCUUUCGGAGAGCUUGAGAGCUUCCGGUUUCUAGCAAACCCCAGGAAGAAAACCCCUGGGUUUUGAAAAAUAGGAAAAAAAUCCAAUUCCAUCUUGGGUUCUGAAAGAUUGGACAAAAUUCCGAUUGUAUCUUGGGAGGAUUCAUUUCAGAAUUCACAUUGUGCUUCAUGGAUCAAUGCCCUAGUUUUUAGUGUAAAGUUUCAAGGUACUGGGAUGAAGAUUUUAUGAAUUUUUGGAAGCAUGCUACGGCAGUCCAUACUUGCUACAAUGUUGCACUUGUUACAGUGUCGUACUUGCUACAGUACUGUGAUUGCUACAUGUCUGAGAUUUGUUGGAGGUUGUGGCAUCUUAUUCCCUGCCAUUUGUGAGACAUAUUGCUUGGAAAUGGGAUAUUCGCUGGACGUGGGUGGUUUGAGCCUCAUUCUUGGACAUGAUGGCACAUUCCGAGCAAACAUAAGGAACAAUAUUCAUUGCAGAUGCUGCUAUAUAUUUCUGUGCGCUACAUUUUCAUUUUCAGAUUGAUGUAUGAAUUGUAGGUUUGUUGCUGUGUGAUUCAGUCUGGUACAUCCAAAUAAAGGUCUAAUAUUCAGAUCUGAACCUUAUUGAGGUCUUCUGAAUAUAUUUUCUAUGGCUGAAAGUCCAUUCUACUCCUUGUAUGGGAAAGAGGUUCAUAUGAAUGCACUGGUAGUGGAUAUUUUUGCUCAUGUUGCUAUUGCUCACUAAUCUGAGCAUAUUUGCUGAAUCUGCAGCUAAAUGACAGCCAGACACAAGUCUAUGUUUGAGAAAAAUAAAAAGGUGUGGAAGAUCACCCAAGAAUACUCUAUUGAAGACUCCACUCAGGGGUUUUGCUGGUGCAUCAUUUGAUACAUUCUGGUGUUGAUUUGACAGAGAUUUGUUGAGCAUUUCAGGGAAGGGUUUCAGAGUAGAUUUAUCAGCAGAUUUGAGGAGUUUAUUGUUGUUUCUUACUAGCCGUACCAUACCUAGGCAGGCUGUACCAUUCUUGCCUACAAGGUAAUUGUUCCGAGGAGUGGUGUGGGUUCUUAGGGAAGGUUCAGAUUAGAAACCCACAACAAAAUCAGGCCGUACAGUUCUAUUAACAAUAACCCUAUUCAUUAGCAAUUUAUCAUCCUCCAGCUAGGUGUUUGGAUUUGGGUUGCUUGACAACCCUAGGCAUUGCAAAAUUCAGGGUUAUGACUGCAUUUCCAGAUAUUAAAAUAUUGAUUGCUGCUGUUAGAGAUUGAAAUCAGACCUGCUGUUAUCAUCUGCUGAUGUAUAUUGCUUGGCAAGAGGCAUUGGAAAUAGGGAAACACAGCUGGGCUCAUUUGUAUUUCAGUUUUCAAACAUUGAGAGGGUUAGCAUUGCAUACUUUGUCAAGAAGGGCUGACUGAAUUGAGAUCAUUGCUGCAAACUUCCAUUAGCUUGGCUAAACCUUUCCUUGGCUGGGUCGUACAUGUUCUUGCUGGCCGUAUAUUCCAAUGGAGUUGUACAUCCUUGAGGACGGCCGUACUUUCUUGUGGAGCUGGGCAUAGCUGUUUGGGGUGAUUUCUUUGUGGGUUUGUGUUAAUGCAUGGUAGCUUAUGCAAGAUAAGAUCUCCCUAAACUUCCUUGUUCUGUUAUUUACAUGCUUCAUGUCUGAUUUAUAUUGCAUAUGAUUUUCGGAUUGUACAAACACUGCUUAUCAUUAUGCCAUCGGGCUAACAACCCGAUAGCAUAUUAAUGUCAAUUGUUAAUUGGCAUUAAUAUGCUAUCGGGGUAUUAACCCGAUAGCAUAUUAAAUGCUAUAAGUUAUCGGGUUAAAUUCGCCGAUACAUACUUGCUAUCGGGUGCAUAACCA